rnacentral:lncRNA from 1 species
CAGUAUGCAUGGGAACCAAUAUGAAAGAUGCCCAAGUAUCUAUGUCAACAUUUAGAAUUUCUGUGGAAUAAAUGGUGGGAUUUCUCAGCUUGUAAGGUCCAUAUGAACUGAGUUCCCUGUAGCCUUCAAAGGGUAGAAAGUUUGAUAACCACUACCCUAGAGUACGGGACGCGGGUGGCGCUGUGGGUUAAACCACAGAGCCUAGGGCUUGCCAAUCAGAAGGUCGGCAGUUCAAAUCCCCGCAACGGGGUGAGCUCCUGUUGCUCAGUCCCUGCGCCUGCCAACCUAGAAGUUCGGAAGCACGUCAAAGUGCAAGUAGAUAAAUAGGUACUGCUCCGGCGGGAAGGUAAACGCGAUUUCUGUGUGCUGCUCUGGUUCACCAGAAGCGGCUUAGUCAUGCUGGCCACAUGACCCGGAAGCUGUACGCCGGCUCCCUCGGCCAAUAAAGCGAGAUGAGCGCCGCAACCCCAGAGUUGGCCACGACUGGACCUAAUGGUCAGGGGUCCCUUUACCUUUUACCCUAGAGUACCAAGGAAGGGAUACCAGAGGUUGCUACUAUGUCAGCCCAGGGCACAAGACUAAGCUGUGUAAUUUGUUUUAAACUGUCUUUCAUGUUAUAUUUUAAAUUGCUGUGACCUGGCCUGGGACCUUGUGCCAAAGCAUGGGGAAAUCAUCAUUGUUGUCGCCCAGUAAUGAGGUGACAAGGUGAGAGGUCCAUUUGGACCAGCUCCCUGAGACUCUACAUUUGGAAUCUAUGUCCUUACAACAGAGCAUAGGGUUGGCUUGUGGGAGAGCUUGGAUUGUCUUCUAGAAACUGAAAGCAUGAGAGGCUAGCCUGCUAGAUCACCUACUGACUAAAUUUCAUCUUUUUUUAUUGUGUUACAUGCUCAAAGUAAAGCUCUUGAAGACGAGAGAGAGAGAAAGAUGGAACAAGUCCACAAUAGAUAAAAAGUAUAACACGGGAUCUGUGUAUAAUGACUAGUACUCCAGAUGCCCUUUCAUAUAUUUAAAAUUGCCAUUCCAUUACAUAAAAUGUAAUUCAUUCUACUUCUCCCUAUCUCUACCCCUCCCCCCACCACAAAAAUAUAAUCCCAGAAGGGUUUUGACCAAACAAAAAUGCUCUAAUGAUUGCAAAUGGUUCAAAUAUUCUGUCCAGUGAGUUUAAGUUAAGUGAUAAAAGUUUCAUGUUAAAAGAAAUAAUAAGUGGAAUUUCACACAUAUUAUAGUAAUUGUGAAAGCAUCCAAUUUACAUGGAAAUAAUGCAAAAGAAUUCUGACCAUGAUGGUUUAAGUGAAUCAUUACAUGCAUCAGUGAUACAUUUAGAAACUUGCAGCAUGCCAGGUAUGUUUCUUUUAGCAUAAUAAGUCUUGUAAUGGAGCCUUUAAAAGCCUUAAAUGUAUAGUUAGAUGAACCUUUCCAUUCGGAUUUUGAUAUCAAAAAGAAGAAACAGGAGAUCAUUAAAAAGCCAAUUAAACCAAUACUCAUUUUUCCUUUACCAGUUUAUAUCAUGUCCCUCGAGGACCUAUCAUUUUGAGAAACAUUAUUUUAUUUACAUUGGAUUAGAAUGAAAAUUGUUUUACUACGCUAAUCUUUUUUUAUUUCUCAGUAGUAUUUGAGAAGCACGCUCAGGCUGUCGCAGAAAUACUGAUUUGGUGUAGUAGCAUAUGUUAGAGGCUAGAGUCUAAUAUAGCAAAUCCCAUUAAUUUCAGUGUGGUGUACUCCUCGGUUAAGAAAGCACGCAUAGGAUUUCAACCUAAAAGGCUUGGGAAUCCUUUUGCUGGCCUUUUGGGAAAACAGUACGGUUCUGUCCAUAGGAUCUGUGCAGACUUGGUACCUAAAAUACAUGUGGAAAAUCUGUGCUUUGCCACAAAGGGACCUGUGAAUUCUCAUUAUUUUUAGAGACAUCAGAAGCUGCCUUAUACUCACACCAUUUGCCCAUUUUAGCUCAGUAUUGUCUACUGACUGGUGCAAUUCUCCAAGGGUCUUUCCAAGCCCUUCCUGUAGAUGCAGAGGAUUAAACCUCAGACCUUCUGCAUGCAAAGCACCCGCUCUUAACGCCGAGCAGCAGCCCUUCCCUAAAGACAGACGUGGUUGAGAGUCAUGAUGUUGACGUUAUUGAAGGCAGCUUCUCCAUUGUCUUGCUAAGGUUGCAGGAACCCAUGGCAAACACAAGAACAUAGUAAAGUUUUAUGGAUGAUUCUUUCCAUUCACCAUUUUAAGACAACUAUUGGCACCUUUCCUAGGCCCUCCACAUUGGGCAGCUGGAUCAGUGACUCUCCAUUUUAAUUUGCUACCAUUUUUACGUAUUACUUCUUAACAUUUUAUAUUAAAUACUUAUACCCCACCAAUUUUAAAUACCCAAGCUGCUUUCUGAGGAACUCAAUGUGUCUUUCUUCUUAUUUCCCACCUUUCUCCCCGCCCCCCCAUCAUGGAAUACAAAGCACCUUACAUGGAGUCCCCAUCCAUAGUCUGCCAUCCAGGCAUGAACCUGCUUAGCUCCAGCAAGCUGUUUAUAAUAAUAAUUGUAAUAAUUUAUUACUUGUACCCCAGCCAUCGGACUGGGUUGUCCCAGCCACUCUGGGCAGCUUCCAACAGAAUAUAAAAAACACAUGAUACUUUGUGUUUGCAUUGUGUAUGUUCAGACCAUGCCCUUACCCACAGUGCCUUGGUUUGACACAACAUUGGGUGCUACAGAGCUUCGUGGUUAAUUAAAAUGGCAUAUCCCAGUCACUCUUGGAGUAGUGAUGCCACUAUCAGGCAUGUCUUAGGGGAUGGUCAUCAACAUAAGAGGGGACCUAUAAGAAGUCAUUUUGCCCAGGGUAUCUUCAAACCUGGAUUCUGAUCUGGACCAAGAAGUAGUACUUUCUAAUCCCAGAUGGUUGGGAGUGGCAGUGAUUAUUCAGUGGUGAGACAACUGCACUUUAGACAUGCUCAGAAGCAUUAACUGCACUUCACAUUGGGUGUCUUUUGGCACCAUAAAGACUGACAAAUUUAUUAGGACAUACACUUUUGCGGACUACAGUGCAGUUCACCAGAUUUAUGUUAGCCUGAGUUAAAGGAACAUAUUAUGGUGGGAAAUGUAAACAGUAAGAUCAUGAGGAAACGAAAGGCAGAAAAUUCUAGAUGAAAAUAAUUAUGGUAUUCACAGUGUCCACCUGUGAAAAAACACAGUUGUGUUGUUAAUGCAGACACCCUACAAUUGCUUCACAUGUGUUCUCUGUUAAAAUAGGUUUUGCACCUGAUCCUUAGUAAGUUCUGAUUCAAAUUAUGCCUUCCAAAUGAGCGACCACUUAAUUCUGCUUUCGUAUUAGUUACAUUUCACACCUCUGGACCAAAAAGAAGAAGAAAAAGAUUGCUCCUUCCUAAUAGGUCUGAUGUGAUCUGUGCUGGUCUAAAUGCUGCAUUUUAAAAAUAAAUAGCAGGAAUGAAUUC